CCUACGGGGGGCUGCAGUGGGGAAUAUUGCACAAUGGGCGCAAGCCUGAUGCAGCGACGCCGCGUGCGGGAUGACGGCCUUCGGGUUGUAAACCGCUUUUGACUGGGAGCAAGCCCUUCGGGGUGAGUGUACCUUUCGAAUAAGCACCGGCUAACUACGUGCCAGCAGCCGCGGUAAUACGUAGGGUGCAAGCGUUAUCCGGAAUUAUUGGGCGUAAAGGGCUCGUAGGCGGUUCGUCGCGUCCGGUGUGAAAGUCCAUCGCUUAACGGUGGAUCCGCGCCGGGUACGGGCGGGCUUGAGUGCGGUAGGGGAGACUGGAAUUCCCGGUGUAACGGUGGAAUGUGUAGAUAUCGGGAAGAACACCAAUGGCGAAGGCAGGUCUCUGGGCCGUCACUGACGCUGAGGAGCGAAAGCGUGGGGAGCGAACAGGAUUAGAUACCCCGGUAGUC
rnacentral:rRNA from 1 species